AGAUUUUUUGUUUCCGCUCAUUUCUUUUCCAUGCUUUGGUUCGCUGAGGUUGAAGGGAGAGAAACGGGGUGAAAACUUCGCCACCUCAGACUUUUUUCUCUCCCCGAUUUCCUUCCCCAACCAAGAGAAAUCGAUGAAAAAACUAGCCAGCUCUGACAAUCGCUCUCUCCUUUCUCUCCUUGAUUUCUUUGGGACGCUGUGGUUACCUCCAUGCUCUCCUCCCGCCAGAAAUCUCUCGUUGAUUUCUCUCGUCGGCUUCGACGCUGAAAUUAACUCCAUCGCCUUUCUCUCUCCUCCAUCAGAUUCAUCUCCGGAGUUCCGAUGAGAUGGGGACGCCGGAGCGGAGCAAGAUCGUAGGGGUGGUGGUGCUUUCGAAGUUUGAGGUGUAGAUGGAAGGAUAGAGAUAUUUGGAUGGGGGACUAUAUAGCGUUUUAGUCCUUUGAGGAGUGUGAUGAAGCUCCUGUACUAUGAUGAUAUCACGGUACGCUUAACAUUCCAUUCAUCCAUUUAUUUUUUAUUUCUUUUGUGUUGAUUUACCUUUCUGACUUGGAUAUAAUUGUCUGUCAUAAUUGUUAAAUGCCCAUGACAGCAUGAGUGCUUAUCAGUGUUCAGAAGUUCUGAUUAUACCCAACACUGAACUUUGUGCUAAAGGAUUGAAUCAUUUCCUAGUCAUACUCAAAUGAAUUUACCAACAUUUUUGGAGAAGACAUGUGUAGGUUUUGACUUAACCAAAAUGCUAAUUUUUGAAUUCCAAAUAUCUUAGAAACUGUUCAAGUAUAAUUUUCACCCCAUAAAAUUUUACUUUCAGGCAUUACUGGCCGCAAGUUAUCGUUAUGCUAAGAAUGGGUGAACCAGUUAAAUAAUGUUGUUGAUACCAGAUUUUGCAAUUUGGCAAGGUGGUUUUACUAUGGAGAACAGGUUUAGGUUAAGGAUCACUCUGAAUAAAGAUUGAGUUUUUUUUUCAAUGAUGCUUGGUGGGAAGGGGAACUGUUUUUUGAUACAGUGGGAGAAGAAGAGGGUUUUCGAUGAGAGGCCCAGGUUUUUAAUUCCAGUAAUGCAUGAAACUGCACCUGUUUCCAACACUAAAAAAUUGAAGUGCUUGUCAUAAUGCUAAAUCUCUAUGAACUGGAGAUAUUUAGUACAUAACCGACUACAUGAACCAAAUAUAGAAUGUGCACAGGGUUAUAGUGUAUCUUGUGCUUGUGUCCAUAAGUUCUAGUAUCCAAACUCAGUUCAUACCUAAUUUUCUAACUCAGUUCAUACCCAAUUUUCAUGAACUGAUGUUGAUGCCUGUUGGUGUUGUUGGUGGUGUUGAUGCCUGUUGGUGUUGUUGACUGGGUUGUUAUUGUCUGUUGGUGUUUUUGGCUGCAUUCUUGAUGUUGUGAGCCUGUUUGUUAUUGAUGUUGUUGUUGGCUUUUGGUGUUGUUGCCUGGUUCCUUUUUCGUGGCUGCUUGGUGCAUCCUGGUUCUUUUUUCGUUGGAUGGUUGGUGCAUCCUGUUCAUUGUUGGGUAAAUGAUGCUUUUGUGCUUGUUUUGGGGAUUUCUGGUUGUGAGCCUGGUUGUGCUUGUUUCGGCUGGAUUUGAUUUGGAUGAUAUUGUUUACAGGUGUUCAAAUUAGGCUAUGAUGCUUUUCAAUUUAUCUGAGAUUAGCAACCUGCAGUAUCUAUUGAUAUUGCACUGGAGGCUAACAAUGAUGAUAUUGAACAAGUUCUGAGCCCACAGCCAUAAUUCGCAUAUACAUGUGGCUGAUUUAUUUGUCAUGAUGUCAAGAAUUAUUUUCAAGCAUGGUUUAUUUGAUAGAUAAUAGCUGCUCGAAGGAGGCUCGUCGAAAUCAGAAUGUGACUUCCUAAUAUCUUUCUUCUAUCCAUGUUGCUUUGAGAAUUCUUUUUUUUUUUUUAAAUUGUGAUGCAUGGUUUAUUAAUAGAUUGCUUCUAAACUCAUAUGCAGGUAAAAGUCGAUACAUCAUCAUCAGAUGCUACAAAGUAAGUAUUUUCUUUCUUAAUUAACUAGUUAUAAGAUCACCUUUCUUGCACUAGUUUUUGGUUUUUCAUAUGUGUAAUCAAUUCAGUCAGGAAUGAACUGUUGAGAGCAAUAGAUUUAAGGUACAUAUAUUACACUGCGAAAUCCUUCUUUCAACUUCAGUAUUGCCUAGUUUCUCUCUUUGAAGAUGAAAAUUUUCAGCUUAUAAUUUCUGAUUGUUUUCUCCAGGAAUUCGUUGUUGAAGCUUUUAGGCUACCGCCUGAUCUCGCAGUUGUACAGCCCGUAUCCCCACUGGAUCUAAGAUAUAAUAGUGGUAACUCAAUAAAAGUUGUCUCACUCAAAGCUCGAGAAGGUGUAGCAGAACUUGUAAAAGAUAUUGUUUUGUGAGAAGGAUGAGUAUUCAAACAGAAAUGGUGUUUUGUAAAAAAUAUUGUUUUGUGAGAAGGAUGAGU